rnacentral:lncRNA from 1 species
AUGAAGGUGGUGUGGUGCGGGAUACUAAAAGGGUUUGUUUCGCACAGCAGCGACAAAGUGGAUGAAAACGCUAAUGCUGCUAAUGACUCGCAUCUUGCCCAACACCACCUUCUCAUCCUCCUCCUCUGCAUCCCCCGCUCCGUGCAGCUGGUAGGCACAGCAACCAAGACAAAGGGUUUCCGGGGUAAUGGACGCAUUUGUGCUGUUCAGCGCCAUCUGCUGUCAGAGAGUGAAAGUGCACUUUCAUCCAGAACGUCUUUCAUGCAUUCCGCCUUGCGCUUCUCAUCCAUGCUUGUUUACAUCAGAUUCGUAGGUCAGGUGACGGCUCCUCCGGAUUCAGGCAGCCGGCAGGAGUCCCCCGUUCCCUGCUCCUCCCCAUCAUGGUGGAUGGCAGCAGGCUCCGGCCUCAGGCGAAUGGCGGAGACUCCUCUGUUCCCUCACGGAUGGCAGCUGUCCCUACACAUCCCAUGCUCGAUGGCACCGCAGAUUCACUACUGCGCGAGGGAUUUCUGACAGCUGGCGUCCCUCCUUCCUCCGGGGUUUCGGAACCAAUGUAACGCAGUUCAUAGGUUGGGAAGAAGGAGGCGGGAACUGGCAAACAUUCAAAUGAAACGUUAAUAAUAAAAUAAACACAAAAGAGCGCAAACAGAAACAAAACACAAAAUAAAAUCCCCACCCCACUCAUCACAACAUUCAAAAUUUUGAAUAAUUUGUAAUAAAUAAUGAUUCUUUGUAUUUUGAAGUGCUCAUGAUAACAAUAUCGUGCAUAUUCAUUAUCGUGAUAUAUCACAUUAGCGAAUACCGACACAUGUCUAGAAUAUUAUAUUCAUAGUUUUAUGGUUUGCUAGGUGAAAAUUGUUAGUCCAGUUGCUUGGAAUAUAGCACAUUUCUCUGUAACAAGCCGCACGAUUCAAGUACAGACAAAAGCAAUGGCUGUUAUAUUUACACAACCCAAAAUACACUCUGCCUUGCUACUUUGACCUUGAGGUGAUAAAGAGUGAUGAUGAUGUUGUACUGUUUAAUUUGACCUCUUUGAUCAUUUCUUUUUUUGGUACUACUUUAACAUUAGCAUUUUAAAAUUGAGACGCCAACAUUGCUGUACGGAUCUGCCAUUUUUAGGCCUCCUUGUUUUUCUGUUUGUAACCCACAACAUUUGAAGUGUCCACAGAAGAAGUCAAAAAGUUAAUGCGAGGUCUCGGAUCGUGCAACAAAAAAAAUCUUCCAUGCAGAAAAUCUGGUGGGUUUGGCCUUGUUUUUAUUUUUUAUUUUUUAGGGUGGUGUUUUUUCUGUAUGAAAAUCCAUUUAAUUACAGGAUGCCAUCAGCAAGACUCUCAUUAUCUUGUUUUUUGUGUUGUUGUUUCAAGUGUUUUAGGGGGUUUGGGUUUGUUCGUUUUGUCUCUCUUUUUCUUUUUACAUCUUUUCUGUUUUUUUGUUUUUUUUCUUUAUUCUCGUGCAACUCAUUUGUCCUUGCAAAAUCUGGUUUGUGGUUUUAAAACUGUGCCGUGUACUGGAAUGCACACAAUUUUCACUGCUUUUGAAGUCCGUUUUGUAUCCACUCUAAAAGAGCCAUUUGUUUUCGUCCCCUCCAACCCUCUUUUCUCACACAUUUCCUUUUAGAGAUUUUCUGCCCCCCAAAGGAUCAACCAUUUGAUUAGUUUCAAAUUUUUGAGUUACUGUUGCCUUCCAUCCUACGGCUAGUCUUCAUAUCACAGAUGUUUUCUCAUGAGAGCGGACCACUUCUUAUUUAAUGUACCUUAUGAGACACUCUGGCUGUUUUAAUAAAAUGAAGACCCUUGUUAUGUUCAUCCUCGACAUGUUUCCUCUGUUAAUAAUCCUGCUAUCUCCCUUUUGCAUUCGGGAUAAAACCGAAUGGCCUUUGAAUUGUCAGAGGGGGUAUUUUCGGGACACCAGGAUUCUGGCUUGGCACACGAGAGUGGAAAUUGUUGUCCAGCUAAGCCGAGGAGUUAAUGUGUCUGUGUUCGUACAUUUAUCGCUGUCUGUAGUACCAAAUCUGGCCGUGUUUGGGUCGAAGUUUCCAGGGUUGACAGGAAGCCCAGUGCUCCGUAAGUGCAUGUCUGUCCCGAAAGUUUGUGUACUUGCACAGAUAUUUCUGUGAUCAUACUGUACACUAGGGAUGGACAAAUAUGAGUUUUCUUAGCCCUCUACAGCAUGCACUUUGCAAGAGAAUUUUAAGACUCUUGGGCUCAGCCAAUAUAUUAUCAGCUUGUCAAAAUCUUCUUUUUAGUAACAUUGAGCUAUUGUGCAUCUUCUUUAAGGUUUUUUACACUUACUUUGUUGAUCAUUCGGUCACAUAUAAGCUGUAGAAUUUAAUUACAAAGUGUAACUUUUUCUUCCAGACAGAAAUGUAAUGUUUAAUAUCAAUUCACUAAGCUACAGUAGUAAACAGUGCUUACUGGCUAUACUUACAGUGAGAUUGGACUGCUAACAGAGGUCUUGAAUGUCCAAGACUUAGAAUCCAUUUCAUUUAAGCAUUAAAACCCCUAUCAAGGUUGUCUGAGUUCUGUCAGAGAGGGUUUUUGCUCAUAAGCUCAUGGUGCAUAUGCUAGAAAAGGAAAGGAUGUGUUUUUACAUGGCACUGAAGCACAGACGAUUUAUGCACUGAGCAUAAACAGACUGCUAUUUAAUCAUUUGUGGAUUCAAAUAAGAUUACCUUGAUCUUACUUUAGUUUUCCUCAGUUAUCGUAACUUUAUCCUAAAAUCCUUCUGAAUAUUAAGGCAUCCAGAUGCUAUUGUGCUAAAUUGUGAAUAUAGGUUUUAAAGUUUUGAGUUUAACAGGAUAUUGAUGCUGUUUUUUCAUAUGGCUGAAGCAUCCACCUUA